rnacentral:rRNA from 1 species
UACGUAGGGUCCGAGCGUUGUCCGGAAUUACUGGGCGUAAAGAGCUCGUAGGUGGUUUGUCGCGUUGUUCGUGAAAACUCACAGCUCAACUGUGGGCGUGCGGGCGAUACGGGCAGACUGGAGUACUGCGGGGGAGACUGGAAUUCCUGGUGUAGCGGUGGAAUGCGCAGAUAUCAGGAGGAGCACCGGUGGCGAAGGCGGAUCUCUGGGCCUGUCCUGACGCUCAGGCGCGAAAGCUAGGGGAGCAAACAGG